CAGCAGUCAUUCUGUGGGUGGUAACAGAUCAUUAAUGAGUGAGGUCAGAGGACAAUGGGCAGAACAAACAGGAAGAGCACGAACACAAAAACAGCAGCUCACUAAAACAGCUGUGUGCAGAAAGGCUUCUCUGAAUGCAAAAUUCGUCAACCCCUCGGGUUGUUCUGGAGGCAAAAGUGGGUCCUACCUGGUGCUAUGUAGGGCUUCCUGGGAUAAGCUUCAGGCUCACCGUGCCGUUGUCCUGGAUAAGCUUAAGAAAUAUGGGUUCACCCUGGAUGGGAUUCCGGUCCAUGCAGAUAAGUCUAUCUAUGCUUCACCCCAAAGAAAGCUUCUCAUCACCUUCGUCAAGGGGGUAUCAGACUCUGCGAGAUCAUCUUUUAGCACUGUGAGGCCUAGGAUUGUGAUGUCCUUAUAUACAGCGUGUUGGGGAUCUACCUGGGCUCAUAGCACUGUUUGUGGAGAUACUGGUCCAGACGGCGGUCAUCACUCAACUGUUAAACCCCCUCCCAGAGGUAGCAAAAUGGAGAAGAAUGGAAGGUAUGUGCAGAAAUGGAGCCGUGGUUUGAGUACAUUACGCAGCGUAGCAGAAUAGAUGUGCUGAUCUGAAUGGAGAGGCUUUUCAGAUCAAAGUCUGCAGUGUCCAAAUCAACUUUUAGACUUACUUGCUUUAGACUGGGAAUUAGAAGUAAAGCAUGAAAAAGCAUUGUGAAAUAUUCUCUGUAAUUCUACUGAUGAUCUGUGACAAUUAGUGUAUACAGUUACUAGUGUGUUAGGUCACUGGUUUUUCAUUAAAAUAAAUUUGAUGUAGAGUUGUUAACGCAUUUACUGUAUUUACUGCUCAGUAUUCUCGUUGGUCUCAUUUGCGUUAAAUUGUUUUCAUUGUGACUGGAAUGCAUCUACAAUAUAUCUAGAAUGUAAGUCUACAGAAAGAAAAUGUAAUGAGAUUAGUUAGGCUGUUGUGGGGACCCAUUUUGUCUGCAUCGGAGGUCAUCUUUAGCUCGGGAAAAUAUCCGGCAUGAUAUAUUGGGAAGCCCGGGGGCCAUGUUUUGGCUAAUGGACCCAGCUGUUUGCAAUG